rnacentral:rRNA from 1 species
GGGUAACGCGAUUCAUUCUGUCCAGCGCAUGGUUAGAGCUUAGGCCUCCGAAUCUGCCUGGUAGUGGGGGACAACGUUUCGAAAGGAACGCUAAUACCGCAUACGUCCUACGGGAGAAAGCAGGGGACCUUCGGGCCUUGCGCUAUCAGAUGAGCCUAGGUCGGAUUAGCUAGUUGGUGAGGUAAUGGCUCACAAGGCUGACGAUCCGUAACUGGUCUGAGAGGAUGAUCAGUCACACUGGAACUGAUACACGGUCCAGACUCCUACGGGAGGCAAGCAAGAGGGGAAUAUUGAACAAUGGGCUAAAAGCCUGAUCCAGCCAUGCCAAGGUGUGUGAAGAAGGUCUUCGGAUUGUAAAAGCCUUUAAAGUUGGAAGGAACGCAAGAAAAUUAAUCCUUUG